UUGCCUUCCUUGCGGCUAGACGCAGGCAGGCACGGGUUAAGUUACGGCAGGACCGCGGCCACGCCAUGGCUACUGGCUACGCGGCCAGCCCCACUUUGAUACUUCCAGGUCGCGUUGCCCCUGCCGAGCGGACGCUCUCCCUGUUCCGUCGUUUGGGUUUACUGGGUUUACUGCGCUGCGCCCACUGCAGCGGUUGCGCAGCCCUUCGGUUGGCUGGCCGGGUGGACCCGGGCGGUUCGAUAGGCUAAGCAGUCCGACAAAUCUUUUGUGUGGCCAGUCUUCGGGCCAGAGGGACAUUACCGAUGCAAAUUACUCAAAUCUCAUUAGCUGUAUGCUAGGAGCUCAGAGAAACUGGGCCUUUGAGACAGAAGUGCUUUGGGUCGCUGUCAACUGAAAUGAGCAAUCAGAUAAAUAUAUUUGUUGAUUUGAGAUUUAUUAAACUAUAAAUAAUGUGAGAAUUGUGAUGUGAUACAAUCAAUAAAUAAUGACACAGCUUGAA